UACGAAGGGGGCUAGCGUUGUUCGGAAUUACUGGGCGUAAAGCGCACGUAGGCGGAUCGAUCAGUCAGGGGUGAAAUCCCAGGGCUCAACCCUGGAACUGCCUUUUAGACUGCAUCGCUUGAAUCCAGGAGAGGUGAGUGGAAUUCCGAGUGUAGAGGUGAAAUUCGUAGAUAUUGGGAAGAACACCGAUGGCGAAGGCAGCCAUCUGGACCGACACUGACGCUGAGGCGCGAAAGCGUGGGGAGCAAACAGG
rnacentral:rRNA from 1 species